AUCACCAUGUCUUACACCGAUGGCUGUUGGUCCUCCAGUGCUCCGCUCUAUGCAGGAAGAAGUCGACGUGCUCCCAUCUAACAAACAACCAUCUCCUAUCCCUGGUGGUGGAGUCAGACACAGACAACAACACCACCUACCCAAUCAAUCUCUUGGUGGUUGAGAACAACCACAAGAUCCCCCACAACCACAACCAAAGCAGUGAAUACCACUUCCACCCCCUGGUGGUGGACAGCAACCACCACCACCCGCCAACCCGCUUUAGCCAGUCCAUGGAGUUCCACCACCACUCCAGGAAGCAUAUAUCCCUUCACUGCUCCCCUCAGCAAACUCCCUCUGCAGUUCUCUUUUCUGGUGCUCUUCUGCUAACUUUUGCAAUGAGGGAGUGUACCUAACCAGGUUCGUGCAGCCGACACCACGCAAUGUAGAGCAUCUCCAUGCCGAGGUCAACAAGGAGCUGGAGAUCAGGGUCAACGCACAGGCUACAUUCUCAACGAUUAAUGAGGUCAUCAUCAGUGGACCUUAGAACAUCACCAACCACAGGACCACCCAAUAGGAGUUUGUAAUUCAGUGGAGUCCCAC